ACCAACCGUCGCCCCUCUCAGCCGGCCUUAAAAACAUACUAAGUGUGGAAAUAUAUAUAUAUAUAGCCUACCAUGUGUCUAUGUGUGUUUGUGUUAACCUAUAGGUAUUAUUACAACUUUACCAUAUAGUAUUUCAUUUGUAUUCAUACACUGCAAUGGAAAGAGUUAAUUGAAUAUACCAGCCUAUAAAUACAACUAAAUACAGACAUUUCUUUAGUUUCUUUCAAAACAAGUCAUCUUUUUCUAUAUUUGUUAUGUUACCACGCUAAAACCAUUGCUAUUGGCUGUCUCCCCACGUUGCUUUGAACAUGAUUGGAUAAUCUGCCUGUCACUCAGAGAACUGGCCAAUGAGAAAUGUCCGCGCCGUGGAUUUGAAAUUACGUCUGUUUGAGCGGGAAGCCGCAGCGGGGCAGGCGCUACUCGGCAGGUCUGCUAGUGUCUGCUGUUGACCUACCUGCAUUAUUACCUGAAGUAUUUUACAUAUGCCUGCGAUUUUAACUUGUGGGAUGUCAACGGAGAAAGAAAGACUGGGACACAGAGGAAGGAUCAUACGGGAUGUGGUGACCAGCAAAGUUACGUGAAUUGAUAUCCUGCAAAAUUAUUGAAGAUAUCAGCACUGGACCCUGAGCAGUGCAUGGCCUGCAAGAUCAUGAGAAGGCUGAAGAACCAGGAGUGACAAGAUACCACUGGAUGGUGGGGCACAUAAUUCCACUCAAGGACAGUGAUCUGAAAAUGUCUGUUUACCAACGGUCCCCAUCCAACCUGACAGAGCGUGUGAGGAUCUGCAGAAAAGAAUGGCAGAACAUCCCCAAAUCCAGGGUAUUGAGUGUAGAUUGAUGAGCUCAAUAAGGAUUGGAACAACAUUGACGGGGGGAAACACCCAAAGUCCAUCACUCAUGCACCGAGGAUCUGGCUGAUUACUGGAAAUUUGGAAGAUUGUUCUUUAUCUGCACUGUCACUUCUGUUAUUAAGGAGCAGUGGGCUGCAGUGAUGCGCCCUGGAAGCAACUGGGGGUUCAGUGCCUUGCUCAAGGACACUUCGACUUGCAACUAAUGGGGAGAGCGGGGAUCGAACCGACAACCUUGGGGUUGCAGGACGGCCCUCUUACCCCACUGAGCUACAGCCGCCCACAAUUAUGGACCUUUUGCGGUAUGUUUUGCUUUCACUUAUCAACUGAUGGUGAAUAAUUGGUUGAUUUUGAAAAUGUACAUUCAAUAAAAUGUUUUAAAAUCAA